rnacentral:rRNA from 2 species
GAGAUUCCCCCAGUAGCGGCGAGCGAACGGGGAGGAGCCCAGAGCCUGAAUCAGUGUGUGUGUUAGUGGAAGCGUCUGGAAAGGCGCGCGAUACAGGGUGACAGCCCCGUACACAAAAAUGCACAUAUUGUGAGCUCGAUGAGUAGGGCGGGACACGUGGUAUCCUGUCUGAAUAUGGGGGGACCAUCCUCCAAGGCUAAAUACUCCUGACUGACCGAUAGUGAACCAGUACCGUGAGGGAAAGGCGAAAAGAACCCCGGCGAGGGGAGUGAAAAAGAACCUGAAACCGUGUACGUACAAGCAGUGGGAGCCUCUUAAUGGGGUGACUGCGUACCUUUUGUAUAAUGGGUCAGCGACUUAUAUUCUGUAGCAAGGUUAACCGAAUAGGGGAGCCGAAGGGAAACCGAGUCUUAACUGGGCGUUAAGUUGCAGGGUAUAGACCCGAAACCCGGUGAUCUAGCCAUGGGCAGGUUGAAGGUUGGGUAACACUAACUGGAGGACCGAACCGACUAAUGUUGAAAAAUUAGCGGAUGACUUGUGGCUGGGGGUGAAAGGCCAAUCAAACCGGGAGAUAGCUGGUUCUCCCCGAAAGCUAUUUAGGUAGCGCCUCGUGAAUUCAUCUCCGGGGGUAGAGCACUGUUUCGGCAAGGGGGUCAUCCCGACUUACCAACCCGAUGCAAACUGCGAAUACCGGAGAAUGUUAUCACGGGAGACACACGGCGGGUGCUAACGUCCGUCGUGAAGAGGGAAACAACCCAGACCGCCAGCUAAGGUCCCAAAGUCAUGGUUAAGUGGGAAACGAUGUGGGAAGGCCCAGACAGCCAGGAUGUUGGCUUAGAAGCAGCCAUCAUUUAAAGAAAGCGUAAUAGCUCACUGGUCGAGUCGGCCUGCGCGGAAGAUGUAACGGGGCUAAACCAUGCACCGAAGCUGCGGCAGCGACACUAUGUGUUGUUGGGUAGGGGAGCG